rnacentral:rRNA from 1 species
CACGUGAGCAACCUACCCUUGACACUGGGAUAACAGUUGGAAACAGCUGCUAAUACCGGAUACGAACUCAGCAGGCAUCUGCCGAGUUGGAAAGCUCCGACGGUCAAGGAUGGGCUCGCGGCCUAUCAGCUUGUUGGUGAGGUAACGGCUCACCAAGGCGAAGACGGGUAGCCGGCCUGAGAGGGCGAUCGGCCACACUGGAACUGAGAUACGAUCCAGACUCCUACGGGAGGCAGCAGUGGGGAAUAUUGGGCAAUGGGCGCAAGCCUGACCCAGCGACGCCGCGUGAGGGAAGAAGGCCCUUGGGUCGUAAACCUCUGUUGUAUGGGAAGAAGGACGUGACGGUACCAUACGAGGAAGUCCCGGCUAACUACGUG